rnacentral:rRNA from 1 species
CCUACGGGUGGCAGCAGUGAGGAAUAUUGGUCAAUGGGCGGGAGCCUGAACCAGCCAAGCCGCGUGCGGGAAGCAGGUACAGCGUAUCGUCAACCUCUUUUGUCAGGGAACAAAGGCGGGGACUAGUCUCCGGAUGAGGGUACCUGAAGAAAAAGCAUCGGCUAACUCCGUGCAAGCCGCCGCGGUAAGACGGAGGAUGCGAGCGUUAUCCGGAUUUAUUGGGUUUAAAGGGUGCGCAGGCGGCCUGUUAAGUCAGCGGUAAAAGCCCGGGGCUCAACCCCGGCGAGCCGUUGAAACUGGCGGGCUGGAGUUGGAGAGAAGGACGCGGAAUGCACGGUGUAGCGGUGAAAUGCUGAGAUAUC